GACUCAAAAACAGAGAAUAUCAAUAAGAACUUUUGUGCAAAUGAUGGGCUUCAUUACAAGACCAUAUGUACCAUCCAAAUCGAUGGUUCAGAAAAGGUUUGGCCCCCACAAGGAACCAUAUCAACUCAACUCCACUGAAGUCACCAACUGGACCAGUCAGCUUCCAACAGAGAGUAUUCCACUUAGUUCAAGGUUGGAGACUGGAUGAAGCAGGCAAAUGAUGAGAUGGCAAGCUAGCUGUAUUGCAUUCUCUAGGAGAAGCUGCCAGGUUCUUGCCUUACCUUCGGAUUCCGAUGCAUGUUCCUGUCAUUCAGAUUUUAGAUCAUUGAAAUUGGAAUUGGGCCAUUAAGUCAACCACACAUACCUGCCAAUGCAACCCCUAUGAUGUUCUCCAUCUGUUGGCUAAGCUAUUUCGGCGUGUUAAAUGCCAAAGUCACUGUGGAAUUCUAUAAUUCCUCAUAUGUAUCAGUAUGUCUUUCGCAAGCCAUGUUAAUGUUCAAGAACUUUAUGCUUAUUUGUUAAGAGGGUAGUUUACACAGAGGCACAUAAACAUGCCAGUUAGUCUCACUUCUUAUGUUCUUAGAACCUUUCAUUUAGCUUGAUAUUUAAAGCAGCAUGCAAAUUCCAGUGGUAUAUCAGCAUUAGACUACCCUUUGAUGGCAGUACCUAUAUUUCUCUC
rnacentral:lncRNA from 1 species